rnacentral:rRNA from 1 species
AACGAACGCUGGCGGCAGGCUUAACACAUGCAAGUCGAACGCCCCGCAAGGGGAGUGGCAGACGGGUGAGUAACGCGUGGGAAUCUACCCAUCCCUACGGAACAACUCCGGGAAACUGGAGCUAAUACCGUAUACGCCCUACGGGGGAAAGAUUUAUCGGGGAUGGAUGAGCCCGCGUUGGAUUAGCUAGUUGGUGGGGUGAAGGCCUACCAAGGCGACGAUCCAUAGCUGGUCUGAGAGGAUGAUCAGCCACAUUGGGACUGAGACACGGCCCAAACUCCUACGGGAGGCAGCAGUGGGGAAUAUUGGACAAUGGGCGCAAGCCUGAUCUAGCCAUGCCGCGUGAGUGAUGAAGGUCUUAGGAUUGUAAAGCUCUUUCACCGAUGAAGAUAAUGACGGUAGUCGGAGAAGAAGCCCCGGCUAACUUCGUGCCAGCAGCCGCCGUAA